AAAACCUUAGCAGUGAACGAGAGUGUAACUGGUCAGAGUAGCGGGUGGAGUUGAACUGCAAGCUCUGAGAUUCAGCUGGUGAGUGUGGUUUGAGCUUGGUCAAGUCAGUUGGACUUUGUGUUCCGUGAUGCACUUAGCAAGUGCUGUGGGAUGCAAGGCUUCUUCGGGCUGACUCGCCAGUGCACUUUCUCAGAGUGGUCACCACGACCGGCAUCGUUGCCUGGCUGAUGGGGUUAAACCGGUUUUGCAUGGUCCUUGUGGCUCUGUUUGAUCGGGAUGGCAGGUAGCUCGUUGGCUUGCUCGCGGUUCGCCGUGAGUGCGGUUUUCGAGUGUAAUCAGCUGACCACAUCGGUUCUGUGCGAUAUGUCGGAGACAGCGGCUAGUGCGCGUGCGUGCAUAGCUGGCUGGCGUGUCCGGGUUUGGUUGUUACGUUGCCUGCGUGUGCAGCCCUGAUAAUGGCUCGGAUUCGUUCGGCUGGCUGUUGCGUGCGUGUACGAUUCAUGGGGCCGAUAGUCUGUGGUGUAGUGGUAACUAUCCACCUGACCCGUCUUGAACCGGGACCAAGAUGUCGGCACGGUCGGCUCGUCUCUGUGGCGUUGUUGUGACGGUCACCCGUCAGACCCGUCUUGAAACACGGGACCAAGGA
rnacentral:rRNA from 1 species